rnacentral:lncRNA from 1 species
UCGAGCCCUCAUGUCAGAACUCAGAACCCCGGGAUCUGACACCUCAGCCGUCGCCGUCGCCGCCGCCGCCGGCGGCACAUGCGUCGGCACCGCCGCUGAAGCUUCUCUCUCCUCCCUCUCCGGGAUUGGUGCGGAAUGGAUCGGGGAUAUACGGGUUUCUUCUCUUCGUAAGCACAGCCUCCAGAGGAUACAAACCAGUACAAGGAGUAGGAGGGAUACCACAGGAACUAUCACUGCGAUGAGCAAGAUAGGUGUGCUGUUCUUAUUUGCGCAGUACCUAUCUUUGACUUUUGAGCAUAUGGGAUUGCCUUCUAGUCUAAUAUGCCAUUAUACAAGUUAUUAGUCAGAUAAAAAACAAAUAGAAUCAGCUGAGGAAAGAAAAACUUAGCUAUAUCAACCUUUUCAAAUCAUGAUUGUAACAUGCUUCUGAAUUUUAGUGCUUCUGAACAACCAUUUCUCUAAAGGCAGAACUAUUACAUGCUUUAUAAAGUGCAUGCCUUCGCUAAUAGAUCUAUUUUGUCCCUGUUUUGUUGG